GGUCUCAUGGUGUAGUGGUUAGCACUCAGGACUCUGAAUCCUGCGACCCGAGUUCGACUCUCGGUGAGACCU
rnacentral:tRNA from 1 species